CAGAGCAAAACCCUGUAUCUGAAAAAAAAAAAAAAAAAAAAAAGUUAUUUGGGAAAGGUGCCUCCAAGCCUCUUUGAGAUUCUCAAAGUACAGUCAGCACGUGGUUCUAAUAAUCAUUGGAGUAUACCGUACGGUCAUUCGGAUUGCAGAUGUCCAGCCUCUGCUGUGACUGGCUACUGCCUUUGCCAUAGUGGUUGUUAAAUAUUUUGAAUAUCACCAUUAUUUACAACUAAAAUAUUCCCUACAUUACAAACGAAACAAAAAGGAGAAUAAAGAAUUCAGGUUGCUGACUUAAAAGCAUCCAAAAAGUCAUUGGCAUGGAAUGAUUAAUAACAUUCCCUUGUGUUCAUGGAGGACUUCAGAUCUUUCAGACUGUUUUUACAGCAAUUCUUUAUGCUGACCCUCAGAACAACUGAGAUAGAGGAAAAAGAAUGGGAAAAAGGAGGGUUGAGGGAGAGAGAGAGAGAAACCACAAGCUCCACUUUAACAAACAUAGAGGCAAGUUACAGAGGUUUUGGGUGAUCUGCCCAUGGUCAAAGGGAAGGUGAGUAAUGGAGGCCAGGCAGGAUCCUAGCAAGUGUUCUAUCCACUCAACCACCAAGCUUUGGACUGGAACAUCAAGUAGGAGCAGACCAAAGAGCGCAACAAGCGGAACUCAGCUCAUCACUUCCAGGUUCUAACACUUUCCUUCUUUUUUUUCUACCCUUUAUCUUGUCACAUUCAGUUCCAUGGAAACUGGCAGAGCCAGAUGGAUUUCAGACAACUAAAACAUACGUGGGGAAAGAAGCAGACCUUCCUUAAAAAUACAAACCCUUCUCUUCCCUUUUGCGGCCAUCACCAAAGCAGGAGCGGCCAAAAUGAAGUUCAAUCCUUUUGUGACUUCCAACCGAGGCAAGAAACGCAAAAGGCAUUUCAAUGCAACUUCCAACAUUAGCAGGAAGAUUAUGUCUUCCCUUCUUUCCAAAGAGCUGAGAGAGAAGUACAAUGUGGUAUCCAUGCCCAUCCGAAAGGUUUUGAUGAAGGUCAGGUUGUAUGAGGACACUAUAAAGGUCAGCAAAUUGGCAAAAUAGUCCAGGCUUACAGGAAGAAAUAUGUCAUCUACAUUGAAUGGGUGCAGUGGGAAAAGGCUAAUGGCACAACUAUCCAUGUAGACAUUCACCACAGCAAGGUGGUUCUCACUAGGCUAAAACUGGACAAAGACGGCAAAAAGAUUCCUGAACAGAAAGCCAAAUCUCGCCAAGUAGGAAAGGAAAAGGGCAAAUACAGGGAAGAAACAAUUGAGAAGAGGCAGGAAUAAAGUAAUCUUAUAUACAAGCUUUGAUAAAAACUUGAAAUAAAAAAAAGAAAAUACAAACCUUGAUCUCAAUCUAUAGGUUUCCUUUUGCUGGCCAACUGAGAUUGAUUAUGUAUUGGAUUGUAGUUGUAGGACGAGGGACAGGGAAAAAGUUUUUAAAAAGCUUUAAAAUAAGCUACAUUAAAAUGAUCAUAAAAAACACCACUUUUUACUUUGGCAAAUAUAAAAUUUCCGAAGUUACAUUUAGAAACCUUAUCAAAGUAGAGGAGCAAAGAUGCCAGACAUAAAUUAAUCAUAAGAUCCAUUUCAAGUGUUUCAAUCACAGGAGAAAAAUAUAAAUUGUAAUUACUUAAACAUAGUUAUACAAAGUCUAGCUCUGUUGCCAAGGGUGGAGUGCAGUGGCGUGAUCUGGGCUCACUUGCAACCACCACUUCCCAGGUUCAAGCGAUUCUCC